CAGCCGCCGCGGGAAUACGUAGGGUGCGAGCGUUAAUCGGAAUUACUGGGCGUAAAGCGUGCGCAGGCGGUUGUGUAAGACAGGUGUGAAAUCCCCGGGCUUAACCUGGGAACUGCGCUUGUGACUGCACAGCUAGAGUAUGGCAGAGGGGGGUGGAAUUCCACGUGUAGCAGUGAAAUGCGUAGAGAUGUGGAGGAACACCGAUGGCGAAGGCAGCCCCCUGGGCCAAUACUGACGCUCAUGCACGAAGGCGUGGGGAGCAAACAGGAUUAGAUACCCCUGUAGUCCCUGUCUCUUAUAC
rnacentral:rRNA from 1 species